rnacentral:rRNA from 1 species
CCCUUAGAUGUUCUGGGCCGCACGCGCGCUACACUGACGAAUGCAACGAGCUUAUAACCUUGGCCGAAAGGUCUGGGUAAUCUCCAAAUUUCGUCGUGAUGGGGAUAGAUUAUUGCAAUUAUUAAUCUUCAACGAGGAAUGCCUAGUAAGCGCAAGUCAUCAGCUUGCGUUGAUUACGUCCCUGCCCUUUGUACACACCGCCCGUCGCUCCUACCGAUUGAAUGGUCCGGUGAAGCGUUCGGACCGUGGCCUUUGGACGGUUCGCCGUCUGUUGGCUGCGGGAAGCUGUCCAAACCUUAUCAUUUAGAGGAAGGAGAAGUCGUAACA